AAAUUCGAAAAGAGAAACACCAAUCAGUUGCUGAGAUUGACCAGGUUUGCAGUGCAGCUCGUCCUCUCUACAACCACGUUUCGCAGAAAUGAAGAAAGGUACCUUUGUCUUAUCGUUCACCGUUUUCAUUUUGUUGGCUUCCUUCACUGUCCAAGUGAGAGGAAUUUCUGCCGGAUUGCCAAGGCCUGGCGGAAUACCGCCCAAGGGAAAAAGGCAAAACUCUUUUGAGACAGAUGCCGAGGAGUCCAGCAAAAGAGCUGUCGUUAUAGACUACUGUACAAAAUGCAGUCGUACUUGCGGCGGAUCACUCAAAUAAUAUUUAUGGAGAAGAGCUAUACCCGCGAGAAGUUAACUACCGAAAGCCCACUUUCAGGAUAAGAAUGAUCAUGAUAAUUAUUUAUGACUAUACCAACUGAUUUAAAUCGUGAUGUUAAAAAUAAACAAAAAUAAUAAUGAUCAUGAAGAUUCA